CAUUAAAGCUGUGCUUACUCUUUAACCACUGUGCACACUAUUAGAUUAAUUAAUUAGACUUGAGUGUGCUCCUUACAAACCCCAGGGAGUUCACCAAUAAAUAGUGUCUAGACAUGGUGGCUAUGGAACCCAGAAGGAGGUCAUCACAGAGUUCACUCUUUGGCUUCAACUCUGGGGUGAGGCUGAUGGUUGGAAGGCAAGGAUUUGGUUAUGAGUUCUCCACAUGCCUAGAGCCUAAGAUCCCACCGCACCCAAAUUUAUCUGAAAGUUCCCACAUGUUAGGAUGAUUUGGAGUGGAGAGAUGGCCCUCAGUGGGGCUCCCAACACAGGAAGCUUCACUGUCACUCAAAUUGACAAAGGACCACAAAUCUACCCUUUGAAGCUAUAUCUCCAUGAA
rnacentral:lncRNA from 1 species